AGAUUUGGCCUCUAGCAUGCUUGAACUUUGGAAUCUCAUGGAUACACCACUUGAAGAACAUCAGAUGUUCCAGAAUGUAACGUGCAAUAUUGCUGCUUCUGAACAUGAAAUAACUGAGCCUAACACCCUCUCUAUUGACUUCCUCAGCUACGUGGAAUCUGAAGUUUUAAGACUCGAGCAACUUAAAGUGAGCAAGAUGAAAGACCUUGUU